AUUGAACGCUGGCGGCAUGCCUUACACGUGCAAGUCGAACGGUAACAGGUCUUCGGAUGCUGACGAGUGGCGAACGGGUGAGUAAUACAUCGGAACGUGCCUAGUAGUGGGGGAUAACUACUCGAAAGAGUGGCUAAUACCGCAUGAGAUCUACGGAUGAAAGCAGGGGAUCGCGAGACCUUGUGCUACUAGAGCGGCCGAUGGCAGAUUAGGUAGUUGGUGGGAUAAAAGCUUACCAAGCCGACGAUCUGUAGCUGGUCUGAGAGGACGACCAGCCAGUCGUGGACUGAUACACGGCCAAGACUCCUACGGGAGUCAGCAGUGGGGAAUUUUGGACAAUGGGCGCAAGCCUGAUCCAGCAAUGCCGCGUGCAGGAUGAAGGCCUUCGGGUUGUAAACUGCUUUUGUACGGAACGAAAAGCCCUGGGUUAAUACCCUGGGGUCAUGACGGUACCGUAAGAAUAAGCACCGGCUAACUACGUGCCAGCCGCCGCGGUAA
rnacentral:rRNA from 1 species